rnacentral:lncRNA from 1 species
AGGUGAAUUUGUACAAAAUGCCUUGAGCUAAAAAAUAAGUGCCAAAGCCAACUUUGUAUUAAUUCAAAUCAACUUUGUAUUAAUGUAAAAAGAUGGGAUUUUAAAAAAAGAUCCAAUACUUGGUAAGUAUAACGUGGUCAUUUGAAAAUUAGUACAGGGCUGGUGAGAUGGCUCAGUGGGUAAGAGCACCCGACUGCUCUUCUGAAGGUCCGGAGUUCAAAUCCCAGCAACCACAUGGUGGCUCACAACCAUCUGUAACAAGAUCUGACGCCCUCUUCUGGAGUGUCUGAAGACAGCUACAGUGUACUUACAUAUAAUAAAUAAAUAAAUCUUUAAAAAAAAAAAAAGAAAAUUAGUACAGAUAUGGCUCGACACUAGUAGACAUAAAAUUUGGGCCCAUUGAGGGCUUUUUAUUUCAGUAAAAUAUUUGAAGAGAUAAUAAUGGGCUUCCUGAAUAGAAGAAUCAUAUGAAGGCAGCAAGAUGAAGGAAGUAAAUGUUUAACUUGAGAUAAAUUUGUUUUUAUGACAUUUGGUGUAAAUAGUGCUUGAUGAAUAAGACCAAGAAAGCAUGAUACUUUUAAAACCUGUUUUGUAAUGUUAUUGAAGAUUUGUCAUAGGAAGUUGAAAAAUCUGCAACAGAGAAGUGAAUAAAUUGACAUAUUCACAAUAUAAUGCACACAUAUAAAGGUUUUGUAUAUUAAGGAGAGUAUGGACAACAUACUAGCUCAGAGCAGAACAGCAUGGAGAGUGUGGUUCUGUUUUGUACUUUAGUCGUCCACAAGUGGUGGGAAGGCAGAGUAUAUAUACCAGAGUUAACAAGACAGGUGAGGUUAUGAACAUUUUUAACAUUUUUUACUUGCAUUUUCUACAUAAAAAUUAUUAAGACAAAAUAAAAUUUACUUUUAAAGACUUUGUGGCUGGGCAGUGGUGGCCAGUGCCUUUAAUCCCAGCACUCAGGAGGCAGAUGCUGGUGGAUCUCUGUAAGUUCAAGGCCAGCCUGGUCUACAGAGCAAGUUCCAGGACAGUGAAGGCUACACAUUGAAACCCUGUCUCGAACCUCCUCUUACUCCCCACUCCCCACUUGCUACCCCCUAUCUCAAGGCAUGUGUUUAUACUAGCAGUUUAUAAGAAAGAUGUCAGAAAAAUGUUGAAUUAGACAUUCUUUGUAUUUUUCCCACUGGACUUUAGGUUAUGGGGGAAAGUGAUGAUUUCUGGGACAGUCUGGGCUAGAAGAGAAGAGAUGAGUGACUGAAGGCUGAGUCUGAGAUUGUUAUACCAGAAAGUGUGAGUCGGAGACUUGAGAAGCAUCCAGGAUUCUUCUUCCAGUUCUCACCUAACACCUGUGAAAUCAAGAGUCACUCCAGGGGACACAUGUCUCACAACAUUCAGACAGCUGCCUCUGAUUGUAUAAACUCCUGACUGGAAGCCUGGGAGUGUGAACACAAUUAACAUCUCUCCUUGGUACCUCCCUUGGGUAAGACCAGUGAUUGGGCAAGCUAGAGAAAUGCUGUGCAAAGAUUAUCUAAAGGCAGGCAUCCAUAGAGCCUCUUGGCUGCCACAUUGCUUUGUUGUGUAAUAGUGAAUGUGUGUUCUUAUCUAUGCUCUUACCAAUUCUACUUCUGAUUUUCAAGGUUUUUUUUUGUGUGUGUGUGUGUGUGUUUUUGACUUUCAAAACCAAACCAAACCAAAAACUCCUGGCAUUUCUCUACUUGAAGAAUUUAUGAAUUUGUUUUCCACGCUGCUUGUUGGACAUCUAACAAGAAAGGUUGGUUUGUCCCCAAAAUGUCAGAAUUUGAGCCCACUGCUUACUCAGCAGAAAUUAAGCUCAUUUUUUGACUAUGGGCUUAAUAUAAUUUUUAAAAUUAAGCUAUUUUCUUUUCUCUGUGUACCUGCAGCUUAGAUUCCUUAGAAUAUUAUGGCCAUCUUUAGGUAAGC